CCUACGGGGGGCUGCAGUAGGGAAUAUUGCACAAUGGAGGAAACUCUGAUGCAGCGACGCCGCGUGAGUGAUGAAGGCCUUCGGGUCGUAAAGCUCUGUUGCAAGGGAAUAAGAAAGUGAAUGUACCUUGCGAGGAAGGAUCGGCUAACUUCGUGCCAGCAGCCGCGGUAAGACGAGGGAUCCUAGCGUUGUUCGGAAUCAUUGGGCGUAAAGCGGGUGCAGGUGGCUCUGUAAGUCAGGUGUGAAAUCCCGAGGCUUAACCUCGGACGUGCAUU
rnacentral:rRNA from 1 species